UACGUAGGUGGCAAGCGUUGUCCGGAUUUACUGGGCGUAAAGAGCGCGCAGGCGGUCGUUCAAGUCGCGUGUGAAAGCCCCCGGCUCAACUGGGGAGGGUCACGCGAUACUGAUCGACUCGAAGGCAGGAGAGGGAAGUGGAAUUCCCGGUGUAGUGGUGAAAUGCGUAGAUAUCGGGAGGAACACCAGUGGCGAAGGCGGCGCCCUGGCUCGCAACUGACGCUCAGACACGACAGCAUGGGGAGCGAACGGG
rnacentral:rRNA from 1 species